rnacentral:rRNA from 1 species
UGGGGAAUAUUGCACAAUGGGCGAAAGCCUGAUGCAGCGACGCCGCGUGAGGGAUGACGGCCUUCGGGUUGUAAACCUCUUUCAGCAGGGACGAAGCGCAAGUGACGGUACCUGCAGAAGAAGCACCGGCUAACUACGUGCCAGCAGCCGCGGUAAUACGUAGGGUGCAAGCGUUGUCCGGAAUUACUGGGCGUAAAGAGUUCGUAGGCGGUUUGUCGCGUCGUUUGUGAAAACCAGUAGCUCAACUGCUGGCUUGCAGGCGAUACGGGCAGACUUGAGUACUGCAGGGGAGACUGGAAUUCCUGGUGUAGCGGUGAAAUGCGCAGAUAUCAGGAGGAACACCGGUGGCGAAGGCGGGUCUCUGGGCAGUAACUGACGCUGAGGAACGAAAGCGUGGGUAGCGAACAGG